UAGGGAGCGAGGGUGGCCGACGGCCUCGCAGGCCAGCAGAAGGCCUGGACCACACCCUUACUGUGGUGGACGCUUUGUCCUCAUCAGGGUGCAGGAGGAAUUUCACAUCAAACAAACCGGGGCACGUUCAGUGGGGCCCGAACAGGGUGCUGAGAGCAGGCUUGACCUGUCGGGUUUCCAGAUUCUCUAGACCCUCACAGGAGCCUUCAGAGUUUAUGAGGAUAAUUCGUAUGGUAGUCUUAAUAUAAUCCCCUGGAAAAGAGCACUAAUGAGAUGUGAUGAUGACAGAAAAAUGAGGUAGCACCUCUCUUGGGGAAGAUGAGCAGCAGGAAGACGCCAGGUGAACCCAUCCAGAGUGCUGGUGACAUGGGUCAUGGCACCUCAUUUUGGCAACAGCUCCUGGUGCAUGAGCAGUGACGGCCGGGAUCUGCGUCUUAGGGCUAUCACCCAUGGCUUCUCCCGGACUCUCUCAAGGCUGUUCUCACCCGGAGUGAUGGCUGCUCCCAGCCUGCAGGAACACAGAACCCACCUGUGGGACAGCGUGAGCUGAAGGCGGGCGGCAAAGCACCAGGGUGGACAGGAAGGCUGCCCGGGGCCACUCAGUAUGGAGAUGGCGAGUAGCUGGGGCUGUGUGGCCUGCAGAGCAGCCUGGGCUGGGCUGGUGGCUGGCAGCGUGGGCAGUGGGCACGGUGGGGUCAGCACAGCACAGCACACAGUGUGUGCCGGAACUGAGGACCAAGCCUGUGCUGCAGCUGACUUCCAGGGAGUGGCUCCCUCUCGGGGGUGCUGUGCAGACCUGGGGGUCCACAGAAUCCGUUUCUGCCCACAAGCAGCAGUGUAGACGCAGAUGCAGGAGAUCCAGGACUGCAGUGUUGAAGUUCACAUCCUGAUCCAGAGUCCUCUAAAUGGGAAAAGGAGGAGCCUGGGAAACCCAUCGCGGCCCAGGGAACGAUCGUAUCUUGAUCCGUCACAGUUUUGAACAAAACGGGCAUCGCUAGCUGAUGUCACUGCACCCCGAAUUUUCCAGGUGCAGUGUGAAAAAAACCCGCAGAACAUCACAUGAAACAUUUUAGGUUGGCUGCAUGUGAAAUGAUAAAAUUUGUAUUUACUGUGCUAAAUUAUUAAAGGUGAUUGUAUUUUCA